GGCGUUCGUUAGUGGCUGCAUAAACCUGGGAAGUUUUCUUUGUCCUUAAAAUCCGCGAUUCUCCUGCGACUUGUUAAACUAAAAGGUGGAAAAAUGACACUGGAGUUUGUGGGAGAGAUGGGAAACUGAAAACAUUUGUCAUUGUCAGCACUGAUGUGAUGAUGGAAACUGUAAGACUACUUGAAUUCUCUGGAAAUCAGCAGAAUAGUAAAGCACCUAGGAGGAGAUUGGUGGUGCCGUCUAAGGGAAGACCAGGGGAAUCUGUCCCUCCCUUCUGAAGCUCCGAGAGUGUCUGGAGGAUGAACACGACAUUCUUCUCACAGCCAGAGGACCCUCAGGACUGGAUCCGCAGCCCACCUCAUUUCACAGCCAUUGUUCCUGCUAAUAGGGAGAGCAGCUCAAUCAACCGAGUCGCAGAUCUCCUCCACCACUGCGUUGAAGAUGUGUGGCUGGUCUGCGUACACGUGGUGUGAG